AAUUAUGAUAUUUAAAAAAAUUGAACAAAAGUCGAGGUUCAAGUCUUCCCUCACAAAUGGUGGAAUUCUUUCUGGAAGAAAGAAAAAAAUUAUAGUAGAAUGUCAAAAUACAAGUUGCAGCAACGUCCAAUUGCAACCCAAAAUCAAAGUAGUAGAAAAAUCAACCCUCCAAUUCAAAUGACGCCAUCUCAGACCAUUGAAAUCUAUAUAUACAGAUCAGCAAAGCAAGUUUUUGUUAUUUUCUUUUUCUCUAGCUAAUAUUAAUGGCAGGUGAGUGUAUGAGGUCUGCUCUGGUGACCCUCUUCAUCUUUGCCAUGGUACUCUCUCCUAUUUUGACCUCUGAGGCAGCUCGAUUCACUUUUCCAGAUACAACUCCUAUAUGUCCUGAUUGUGUAUGCUGCGCACCUCCCCCACCAGGCUAUUGCUGCGAUUGUAAUUGUGCUGCACCAAUUAAAACUCACACCGAUGAGUAAGGGUCGCCAUGAUAUACAUGUACAACCAAAUUUGUAUGAUAAUGGAAAAGUAUAUAUAUAUAUAUAUAUAUAUAUAUAUACAGGGGGAUUACUGUGUA